rnacentral:lncRNA from 1 species
ACUCAUACUCAGCCUUCAAGAGGGAAGCAAAUGAGAAAAAGAAGAUAUAUGGAGAACGAAAAAUUAAUAGACAAGAGACUGACAUUCAUAUACUGAUAAACUAGAGGAAAUGUAUUCAUAUCCAGUUCUUAGAGAUACAGCACCAUCUAUUAAAUCAAGAAAUACCCUCCAUAAUAUCAUAAAUGUACUAAUGCUGUAAGUGAUACAAAUAGGUGUAUGAAUAUCCUCUUUAUUUAAUUCAGUCUUCUGUUAUGUAAUGAUUUAUAUAUAAAAGUGGGACUUUUAACUCAUUUGAGGGCAGAAUGAAUGAUCUAGUUCUAUAAAGCACCUAACAGAUUUUAUUACUACAAAUGGCUAUAAAUGUUUACCUAAAAAUUACCAUUUCAUGUAUAGCUAUGUAUCAACAUAUGCAAAUAAAACCUAUUCAUAUGGGUCAAACACUUAUUACAUAAUAUAAUUAACUUCAAGGCAACAGUAAAUAUAAAAAUAAAGGUAACAGAGUAACUGUUCCUUGGAUGAUUCACAUAGAAAUUUUUAGUGGGUAAAAACUGUCCUUUGGUUCAAAAUUAUUGUUCUGAAGCUAACAAUACAGGUCAUGAAUAUAGUGUUAUUAAAAAUCUAAACU